UCUCCCUGAUGCACUUAUCUGAACUUACCAAAAAAGUGUGUCCCAAGACAUUCUAGAGUAAAACAAUGGAAACGCUAAAACAGGCUACAACUCAGGUGUUUAAAGUCAUCCCAAUACUUGACUUCUUUGCAAGGGCCCCAUGUCCCUUCAUAGCUCAAUUAUUUUCUUUGUUUUACUGCUAGAAAUAAGUUGUCAUAAGAUAUUUUACAGUGUGGGUUAUAGGAUGUUAUUAAGACAUGUUAUUGAGGCUGUGAGGAUGGCUCAGUGGGCAAAGCCUGAUGAGCCAAGGUCAGAGCUCAGAGCCCACACUAGAGCCAUGCAUUGUUAGAUGAGUACAGAUCUUGUGAACUUGCAUGUGUCAGUAGGUUUUGGUCUCUGGAUCUCUGGAAGUUCAGUGGCCAGCUAUCCUGGUAUGCAGAGCAGUGAACAAGAGACCCUGUCUCAAACAAGGUGGAAGAUUGUUAAGACCGGAUAUGGACUUGCUAUUUUGUUCUUCUAUGACCUCUCACACUUGCAAUUGCACAGCCUCAGUGGGUCAGCAGUGUAGAGAACCUUACACUACUGUAUAAGACACAUCUGCAACAGAGUUAAGCCAUGAAGAAGGAUGCCAGUUUGCUUACGCUGUCAAGGAACACACAAUUAGAAAGACCCGAAUUUGCACCAUCUUCUUUCAUAUUCUCUACACAAGAUAAUAUCAGAAGUGCUGUUUCAAGGUUAGAGAAUCACUGUGGACUUUGUGGCAAGACGGAAGUGUGGACUCACUGAUGUCAUGUUGGUAGGACUUGUCCCCAGCUUCCUUUAUGACUCAUAGGGAAUUCGUGUUGCAUCAGUAUGUCUAAACUCCACUUUGACUUCAUUUUGUCCUCACUUUGUGCAAUAGCUUAUGAUGUUUAUUAGAUGACUUUGUGGUUUUUAUGGUUCUAAAGUUCUCUCUUUAAAACGUCAAAUGUCCUGAUUCACUAAGUAAAACUACGUUCAUUUGUUAAGAAAGGCACCAUCAUAGGUAAAAAUCUAAAGAAAAAUGUUGUUUUAAAAGCAUUAUUUUCUUUUUCAUUCUCUGUGUCCAUGGCCCCCCUUCCACCAUUCUCUACAUUCCUUUCGAUGGCUAACUUUAUCACAUACUAUGACAUAGGACAGAAAAGUGGGAGUUGGGAUUUUCCAUUCAUAUGUGGGCCUUUUCCAUCUGCAAGCUGCUGGCCUCAGAAAUCACCACCAUCAUUACAAAUACCAUUAUUACCAAAAUUAAACUGGAGUUGUGUAUUCUUGGGGGCUUAAGAAGGUCUCAUUGUAAUUUCUACUUCUAGGUGUGUUACACAUUAACAUAUAUUCUGUCCUUUACCUUGAAGGAAUUCUUUCCUUUUGCACGACAUG